rnacentral:rRNA from 1 species
GAUGAACGCUGGCGGCGUGCCUAAUACAUGCAAGUCGAACGAAACUUCUUUAUCACCGAGUGCUUGCACUCACCGAUAAAGAGUUGAGUGGCGAACGGGUGAGUAACACGUGGGCAACCUGCCCAAAAGAGGGGGAUAAAACUUGGAAACAGGUGCUAAUACCGCAUAACCAUAGUUACCGCAUGGUAACUAUGUAAAAGGUGGCUAUACUACCGCUUUUGGAUGGGCCCGCGGCGCAUUAGCUAGUUGGUAGGGUAAAGGCUUACCAAGGCAAUGAUGCGUAGCCGAAUUGAGAGGUUGAUCGGCCACAUUGGGACUGAGACACGGCCCAAACUCCUACGGGAGGCAGCAGUAGGGAAUCUUCCACAAUGGGCGAAAGCCUGAAGGAGCAACGCCGCGUGGGUGAAGAAGGUCUUCGGAUCGUAAAACCCUGUUGUUAGAGAAGAAAGUGCGUGAGAGUAACUGUUCACGUUUCGACGGUAUCUAACCGGAAAGCCACGGCUAACUACGUG